UGUGACUCACCGAGUUCGCCCGGUGACAAUUCAUCUUGGCGAUCACCGCCUUCUCCUCUUUCUGACGCAGGAGGUUCGUUUUCUUGGAAUCAAAACAACAUGGGAGGAAGACUCUCUUACCCUCUUCUGGCUGCAUCCGACGAUGAGGAACGUCUCGAUACUGUUCCUCUUCAGGCCCAUCUCAACGCAGCAGUGGGCGUGGUCAGCACGGGCCUCGGGAAGGCCCGACACGCAGUAAUAGCAGUCACCAAGGAUCUUGAUGCGGAGGCAGUGAUUCUCCUGAGGACACAUCAGAAACGUGCGCAUCAAUACAUGCGAGAUUUUGUGAAACAUCAUGUCCUCCUGCUUGGCGUUGAUGUCCGCCUUCAUCUCCAUGGCGACGUGGCGGGGAAGCACCGACAGCAGCAGACGCUCCUUCAGGUCAACACACGACACAAACGCGGGCUCUUCUAUUAAUAUCCACGCCUCCCUUAUUUGGAGCGCACGGGCUUUUCCUCCUCGAGACUUGGAACAACACGACUGUCGUUCCCCCGGGGAGGAGGAGGAGGCGGACGAGCGACGGCAGGGAAGCGCCAAUGUUGGAUAAACAAGGCGUACCUAAUGAAGCGGCUAACAGCAAAUGUCAAUCAAGACUUCAUGCUGACCAAUUAGGGGAAAAAAAUUAUGAGAAUUAUUAAAACAAAUGUAUAAUUCAAUGUAAUUAUUUUACAAUUGUAUAAAAGAUACAUUAAAUUACAUUAUUCGAAAUAAGAUUCAAAUACAUUUAGAAAACAAAUGUAUUUUGAGUCAUCUUGCCAGUUUCAGGAAAAAAAAAUGUAAUUGAAAUGGUCAUUGCAUAUUUUCAGCAUCAUUUCUUAAGGUCGUGUGUAAUUUCAAUGACUCGUCUAAAUCCACAAUCUCUUAUUUAUCCUUGCUUAUAAGGAGGCUCAAACACAUGAUUAGCGUUACCGCCGUACAGUGUCGGUGUCGAACAAAGCGGCGCUUCUUCCAACAUUUAACGGUGGAAGACUCAUUGCUUCCAGCUUCUGAGGGAAAUGACAGUCACAGUAAAAAAUUGCAUUCCAUAAAGAAAAGAUUUCUUGUUUGCUUUCACGAGAUGUAACAAUUUGUGACUUUGUUUGAUGGGGUUAGCGGUUUGUAUCGAUAGCAGCACAGUAUGCGCAUUGUGGCCCUGCAGGAGGUAAUGCGGGUCAUGCGCUAACUGUUCAACCUCAUUGUGAACUCAAGAGGAUCAAAAAAGAGCACUCACAUGAUUUUUUUUUUAAAGCUCCUUUCACACUGAGGCUGAACACUUUCACAACCACUAAAUAACUCAUAACCAACACUAACCCAUCGUGUACCGUCGUAAUCAAUCGACAAAUAAUGUACAUUGCGCUAAUUAGCAUGGCGGGCUGAUUGAACAUGCGAUUGGCUGGCAACCGGUUCAGGG